GAAAUUUUUGUUCUAAUUUAACCUGCAUAAUGAAACUCAAAGCCCUUCAGUCACGAGCCUUUUGGUUGCAUUGCAGAUCAAAUUCUGCAAUCCCAUAGAUAGAAAUGGCUGUGGUAAGACACUGAUGUUUGAGUUGUUCUUGUAUUUUCAGCAGUUAGAUGGAGAAAUAUUAUGUUGACAUAAACACAUUUAUGUCAUUAGUAGCUUGGCUCCACACCUAAUAAUAACUACAGACAUGCAAAGAAAUGAAAAGACAAGCAUGAAGAGCAUGUUAG
rnacentral:misc_RNA from 1 species